AUUGAACGCUGGCGGCAGGCCUAACACAUGCAAGUCGGACGGUAGCACAGAGGAGCUUGCUCUUCGGGUGACGAGUGGCGGACGGGUGAGUAAUGUCUGGGGAUCUGCCCGAUAGAGGGGGAUAACUACUGGAAACGGUGGCUAAUACCGCAUAACGUCGCAAGACCAAAGAGGGGGACCUUCGGGCCUCUCACUAUCGGAUGAACCCAGAUGGGAUUAGCUAGUAGGCGGGGUAACGGCCCACCUAGGCGACGAUCCCUAGCUGGUCUGGGAGGAUGACCAGCCACUCUGGAACUGAGACACGGUCCAGACUCCUACGGGAGGCAGCAGUGGGGAAUAUUGCACAAUGGGCGCAAGCCUGAUGCAGCCAUGCCGCGUGUAUGAAGAAGGCCUUCGGGUUGUAAAGUACUUUCAGCGGGGAGGAAGGCGAUGUGGUUAAUAACCGCGUCGAUUGACGUUACCCGCAGAAGAAGCACCGGCUAACUCCGUGCCAGCCGCCGCCGUAA
rnacentral:rRNA from 1 species